rnacentral:rRNA from 1 species
AACGAACGCUGGCGGCAUGCCUAACACAUGCAAGUCGAACGAAGCCUUCGGGCUUAGUGGCGCACGGGUGCGUAACGCGUGGGAAUCUGCCCUUUGGUUCGGAAUAACAGUUAGAAACGACUGCUAAUACCGGAUGAUGACGAAAGUCCAAAGAUUUAUCGCCAGAGGAUGAGCCCGCGUAGGAUUAGCUAGUUGGUGUGGUAAAGGCGCACCAAGGCGACGAUCCUUAGCUGGUCUGAGAGGAUGAUCAGCCACACUGGGACUGAGACACGGCCCAGACUCCUACGGGAGGCAGCAGUGGGGAAUAUUGGACAAUGGGCGAAAGCCUGAUCCAGCAAUGCCGCGUGAGUGAUGAAGGCCCUAGGGUUGUAAAGCUCUUUCGUCCGGGACGAUAAUGACGGUACCGGAAGAAGAAGCCCCGGCUAACUUCGUGCCAGCAGCCGCAGUAA